UAGCAUCAGAAAGCCAGGGGCCCAGUUUCCUUUGCACAAAAGCAAGAGAACAAAGAACAGAGGAGGGCUAACCCUGCGGAAUCUGGUGUGGAGACCUGCAUUACCCUCCUGCAUUUCCCUCCUCUCUGCUCCUCACUGUGAAAGAGCCUGGCCAGCUCCAUGCUGAGAAGAUGAUGCCACAGAGGCAGCUUUGGGCAAAUCUUUCCCUUUUUCUCCAAACUCAUGGCCUCCUCUAAUUUCAUCAACCUUAAGCAGAGAAACCUAAGCCUAUGGACCUAAGAGUGUAGUAAGUUUGGGGAGCAUGAAGGGACACAGGUCCCGCCUUUUGAGAGGCAUGCAUGCUGGGAACAGGGAUGUAGUGCUGGCAGCUAUUGCUGGGCUACUUUCCUAAUUAAUUAAUUAAUUAGUUAUUGGUACUGGGAAUGAAGUCGGGCCUUGGGCUUUCCAGGCAGGCUGUGUGGUGCUGAGCUACAUCUCUGGCCCAGGGUUACUUUCUUUUUUCGGGACAGUGGACCAAACUCACAGCCUCAUGCUUGCCAGGCAGGUGCUCAUGUCCCUGAGCUGUAUCCCUGGACACCAUGGGUCACUGUUUUUUUUUUUUGUUUUGUUAUUUUGUUAGCAAGGCCUGAACUCAAGACCGUUUUUAACUAGGAAUGACUUUUUUAACUAGGAAUUUUCCUCCUUUCCUAUUCACGGCAUAGGCAGCCUAAAAAGAUUCCCCCUUUUGCUGUGAAAAGGAAAAAGGCUGCUGGGGAGCUGGGGAGGGGGAGAUUUGUGCCUGUUUUCCUGCUGGGAAGUUCUCCCCAGAAUCCACUGGCCCCACGGCUUGGAUUUACUCCAAGGUCAUUCCUGCAGCAAGGUGGCUUUAAAGGACUCAAAGCAGAGGCCCCGCUCUGGACAGCAGGCAGGUGGUGUGACACCUGAGGCCUCAGGACACAGGCUGAAAUCAGAAAGGGAACUAUCUUAGGAGAAUAAUACAGCACUUAAAAAGGAAGAUGCAGCCCAGCAGCCCUGCACUGGAGGCCAAGAUGGAGAAGACCUCCAUGGACUCCAUCAUCUUCUUGUUGCUGUGCUACAUGAGGUGGAGAGUGACCCACAUACUGCAGAACACCAGCAUGCUGAAUGUCAGGAACUUGGCUGCAUUGAAUGGGUCAGGUAGCACUGAGAAACUUGGAGCAAUCUCUCAGUCAUGGUAUGAAGCCCAUGAGAGAAGAAGAACCAGCCAACUAGUGAGGGAGCAUGGGAAAGUCCAGUGCAUCAUGGAGCCAUACCUCUGCCUGCCUCCCACAGCUGCUGGUGAAAGCAGCCAGCAGGGCUCAAACCAGAGCCAAGCCAUGCCACCCUCCAGGUCCCCAAGAUGAUUUGUGGCUCCUCUGAUAUCCCCAGGAGUGUGAACACCCAGAAUGCAGCAACAGCCCCAGAUGAAGCCAUGGAAGCAAUCCUUGAUGAGCCGACUGAGACUUUUCUUCAGAAGGCUCACGCCAUGACACAUGAAGAGAACUGGCCCACAGCAGACUACACAAGCACCCUUUCUCUGGCAUCCCCCAGAUAUCACUCCUUGAUUGCCCGAAGACCCAUGUCUGCACAAGCAAGCUGACUGUCCCUGAGGGUGGUGGCCAGAUGCAGGAUAUAAGGGGUCAGAAGACUCUCAAUGGCAUCCAGAUGAGUACAUUGUUGGGAGGUCACAUCAUCAGCCUCAAGGAGAAUCAGAUCCUCUCUGGGACACCGAUGAGAGUUGCCUUGGGUCAGCAGAUCUUUCACUUGGCUGCCAUGGUAAACCCUGUUUGUGAUCAAAGCCUCUAUGUGAAGAAGAUUACAAAUGCCUCGAUUGGUCAGAGGUUAAUGGGGACCAGAUGGUGACUUUAACCAAUGGUCAGAAACUCAGUGGAGGAUAUCAGCUUGUAGCAGUGCCAUGACUCAUAGACUUGCUGGCAAUUACUGGCAUCUAGGAACAAAUCCCAGAACAGAAUGGGAACUUCCAGAUGAAGAGGUACCCACUGCAGACGAAUUCCCAGAGAUCCAGGCCCUAUGUCUGCCCACACAAGUGCUGCGAAAAUCUUACAUGAUGCCUACUCACCUGCGUAUCCACUAGCACACACCCAAUGGGGGUUACAAUUAAGAGCUUGCCAUAGAUCUUGGAGGAGACUUGGAACUUGGACUUUUCCUCAAUGCUGAAACUUAGGACUUUGGCAACUCUUGGAGGUCGACUAAAUGUCUUUUGCAAAAAGCACUAAGUCCCUGUGUCUUGCAGGCUGGCCUCAAACUCACUGUGUAUCACAUAGUGUGAUUGAAUUAAUGACAAACUUGUGGUCUCAGCCUGUCUGGUGCCAUGAUUAUGGGCAUGGGCUUCUACCAAGUCCUGGCUCAUCCCUAGCAGAUGUUGAAAUGAAAAAUGGAAGCACAACCAAAGGAUUUUUACUAGUGUUUUUUGGACUGUAGUCUUGAGUGGAUCCAUAAUGGGCUUUGGGCAACAUGAUUCUUCAUGAAAGUACAUAAGAGGAUGAAAAAUCCCCUUCUGUGGACAAGAGGUGAGCACUCCUUGCCUCUGACCUGAGAGCACAGCAUGCCAAUGUCAAGAGUGCCCUGCAUGGUCUCUACAAGUGCUACACAAAGAUAUGACACCUGCUCAUGUUGAUCAGGUGUCCUGGGCUCCAUGGAAGAGGCAUGGGAACAACACAGAACCAGGGAGUCAGUGCUGUCGUGUUAUGACCAACUCCACUCCCAGCUCUCCACACCAAUUACCUCCUGUCUAUCACCACCAUAUGCAGCCAGCCACCUGCCUUCCUACCCAUCUCACAGACAGGACCCACAAGAGAACUGCCAUCUUGAAGGAGGUACAUAGUACAAGAUCGAUUUGAAUUGGAAAAGGAUGUGAGAGACCUGCUGCUGCCUCCAUGUUUGAAUUCUAAGUUGAAGCCUGAAUCAAAUGCCAUUUUGUGUCCUCCUCUAUGUAUCGGUGUCCAUGCAUUUACUUUGGAGUGUUGACACAUUGUGUCACUGUUGGCUUGGGGGUAUCCUUGACUUCAUAACAUAUGCCAGGCUGGCUGAAAUUGCCUGCAGUUCAUCUGGGCCAACUUCCCAAAAGAUGGGAUAUAAGAUGGGCCUCCAAUCCCAUCAAAUUUGCAUCAGAUGGCACCUGUUAGGAGAUUUGUGUGGGACUAGAGAUUUAGUUCUCAGAACAUGUGGAAAGGGAUUCAGAGUCCUUGCAAGACACAGGAUCCAAUGGAAGGGCUAGACAGCAGGUGGACAGAAACGGUGGAAACUGCAUUAGAUGUGAGGUGAGGAAAGUCCAAAGAGAGAGAAGAACAGAGAGUUCUUUCCUUCUGCCCAAUGAUUUCUGAUAUCUGUGAGCACCACACUGCCUAAAAGGAACACAUGAGGGAUGAUAUGACAGGUGACUACAGCAGGUGAGGCUAGGCAGCUAAGGGGCUGCUGGGUUGCGAAAGCUGCCCCAGACCCUGGAGAUGGCCUCGCCCCAGGUAGGCGUGGCCAACAGCUGGCUGGAAUCUUCGGAUACUCCCACUGCACCUGAGGGCCUCUAAAAGCCCUGCACUACUCCUCCUGAAACUGAGAAGUAUUCUGACCGUCCCAGCUCUGUAGAGGCUUCCAAGCUGAGUGCAGCUGUCUGCCAUCCUCAUUCGACUUGGAAAGAGGCCUGGGUGUCUGCACUUCUGGGAGCACACUCUGGUGCAUUGUACUGGAUGAAUGUUCAAGAGAAGUGAGCACAAAGUUCUCAUUGCAUGAGGCAAACUUGUCAUCCUCCUGCAGGAGUCUGUCCAGGGCUGCUAUAUCGGGGCUGGUAUGUUCUCAAUGGCGUGAUUUUUGCAUUCAAAGAAUUAUAAACACACAGUAUCAUAAG